rnacentral:misc_RNA from 1 species
CCAGAGUCCAAGUCCACGGCAGAGCACCCCACAGCUUCGCGCCCACACACGAAAAACACACAGCGGCCGAGGCACCGAGCCAGUCCGGUGAAGGAAAAGCCAAACGGAAGCGGAAAAACUAAAAGUUUAAAGCCCCGAUUAGGGAUGAACUGUUAAAUAUUUUGCGGAAAUACGCGUAACUAAUUGCAGUGAAUCGCUUGACAAAAGUGUCGGGCUGGUGAAAGUGAAAAGAAAAUAAAUUGAAAACUCCUAAGCACUUUUUUUCGCACAUGUUUUCCAAUGCAACGGUUUUCUUCUGUAUCUGUUUUCCGAGAGACCCCAGCCAGGGACUGUAAUUAACAGAGCCUGGGCCCCCACGUAGAGCCGUCUAGGAUCCCAGCCGUGCAACAAACGCAGAAUUCCAAGACUCCAAGAAGCACCUGCUCAAGGACCUACGAAAAUGAUUGUACGCCGCCGAUCUCGUCGAGCCCGCAUGUGGAACAUGGGGCUGCUCUUCCUCAUCUACUACUGCGUCAGCAUCUAUUCCGCCAAGGGCGACACAAAGGAGUCCCUGCCCCUGGACGUCGGCAGCCUGGCCGAGGACGCCGGUGAUGCGGAGUCGAAUGGACUGGACAACACCGAAGCCAACGCUGUCCCGGAUACAACCCCGUGGCCCGAGACCCUGUCAACCACACAGGCCACUCCUGUCCACGGAGCGGUACCCACUUGGCGGCCCAAGCGCGACAACUGCACCCCGCCGGCCAUCGAACAGUUCCCCCAGCCACUGAUGAACAAGUGGGCGCGACAGCAUGGCGGCCUCAUCUUGCACAUCCUGGUGGCAGUCUUCACCUUCUUCGGGCUGGCCAUCGUCUGCGACGAGUACUUUGUGGCCAGUCUGGAUCGACUGUGCGAGGAACUCAAACUAUCGCCCGAUGUGGCUGGAGCCACCUUCAUGGCUGCCGGAAGUUCGGCUCCUGAGUUAGCCACCGUGGUGAUCGGCGUGUUCUUCGCCAAGGACGACAUAGGAAUCAGCGGGGUGAUUGGAUCCGCCGUCUUCAACAUCAUGUUCGUGAUCUCCGUCUGCGCCCUGUGCUCGGGCACUGUCUGUCAGCUGAACUGGUGGCCACUGGUGCGGGACUGUUUCUUUUACUGUGUCUCUAUUCUAGUGAUGCUGAUAAUAAUCUUCAACGACGUCAUCUCCUGCUUCGAGUCGGUGGUGAUGCUCCUGUGCUACGUUGGAUACUGUGUGGCCCUCCACUUCAACACGGAACUGGAACGCUGGGCCUUGGGCCUGAACCUGCCCUUCAAGCUGCCCAGCAAGGAGGAGCAGUCGGCGCUGGUGACCUACAAGAAUGUCCCCGAGAGCACCUACACCCAAGGAGGCGGCGCCCAGGGACGGGAGCAGACCCAGCAGACCAGCCUGUCCAAGGAACAGAACGAAGGAAUGCCGACGGAACCUCAAAGCGACUAUCAGAACUACAGCGAUCCCAACGCCAGCUGGGACCCGAACUCCGCCUGGGGCGAGGAGAACCAACCGAAACCAGUCGUCAGUGCUAGAUUCAAUCCGCCGCCGGUCGACGAUUGGGGCAUGGGCCAGUUCAACCAGGGCCAAGGGCAGGAGAACAUGGCCUACAAUGCCGACCAGCCAGAGUCUGUGGUAACAGGAGAGGCGGCGGCAGCGGCAGCAGCUUCUAAGCCGGCCGCAACCACGGCGGCAGCCACAACCGGAACUGUUGAUUACUACAAGUCCACGGACAAGCAGCGAGAGCCACGGCCCGAUCCCCUGAUCCGACCCACGGAGGGUGGUCUGCCAGCACUGGUCGCCUGGUAUGUGGUCUAUCCGAUCCACUACCUCUGCAAGAAGACGAUGCCCGACUGUCGACAGGAGCAGUACCGCAACUGGUAUCCCUUCACGUUCCUCAUCUCGAUGGUGUGGAUCUCGUUCUAUUCGUACUUUAUGGUCUGGAUGAUCACCGUGAUCGGGUCCACUCUGGCCAUUCCGGACACCGUGAUGGGUCUGACGUUUGUGGCCGCUGGCGUGUCCGUCCCGGAUGCCCUAAGCUCAAUAGCCGUUAUCAAAGAGGGCUUCGGCGACAUGGCCGUAUCGAAUGCAAUUGGCUCGAAUGUCUUUGAUAUACUAGUGUGCUUAGGUCUCCCCUGGUUCAUACAAACGGCCAUCAUAAAGCCCGGCUCGCACGUCAACGUAAUAUCCAAGGGUCUGGCCUACUCCACGCUGUCGCUCUUCUCCACCGUUGUCUUCUUGAUCCUGUCCACGCACCUGAACGGCUGGAAGCUGGACAAGCGACUGGGCAUCAUCCUGAUGGUCUGGUAUCUGUUCUUCAUCACGCUGGCGUCUCUCUACGAAAUGAAUGUCUUCGGCUACAUGAACCCACCCGAGUGUCCCAGCACUUAUUAAGUCCCGAAGGACGAUGGCAGCAUGCACUUAUAAUCGCAUUACCAGCACCAAGUACCAUAUACAUAGAUGCAUACCACACAUAUAUAUAGUGUCGUUCAUAGCCGCAGUUAAAGUAAGACCAUCAAAUAUUGCAACAAACCAAAAUUCAAAGGGAAUUAAAUGAAGUUGAAUGGAACAUUUACCUAAAGUUAAUUAGAGGACAGGAAUAAUACUCAAAAAAAAAAAGGCAUUUUACAUGGAUUUUUACAUUGCACCAAAAAGGAUCGAGGCAAUUAACAAACCGUAUAUGUACAACAAAACGAAGAGUAUACAUAAAUGAUAAAUAGAACUGUAGAUAGGGAGACAAAAAUAUAUGUAACUAAAAUCACGAGAACCAGAUACAAGAAAUACUAGCAGUGGUCGCUAACUAUUUUAGUGAGGAGCUUGUUAAAAUGGAUAACCCGAAUCGAAAGCCCCAGUUAUGUUUUACAACGAUAUCCUUGGUCAAUAGCCUGUAAUUACAGACUUAGUUUUAGUUUAGAGACAUUCCUGUAAAAAGUCCCUUUAUGGUUUAUGGAGCCACCCGAACACCAGUGGGUUUCCGCUUGGUCGCCCUCAAGGACUCACAAGACGAAAUCAACCGACCAGAACCGCCGAAUCAGGCGCCGUGGAAAACGAGCAACGAAUUUUUAUUAUAGUUUAUAUUAAAUAUUCUGUUUUAGUUCAUACCUCGAACAAAAAAGAAGAGUGUGCAUAUUUUUUUAUAUAUUUAGUCUGACGGUCGAUGCGAUAAUUUAACAAAUCCACACGAAAUAAAUUCGUUUAGAAAUACAUAUAAUACGUCCUAGGUUUGCCGAACACCACAUAAAACUUAUCAAAAAAUAGCAAUGAAAUUAAAAAGUGCAAGGUUACUUAAUCUCGAGGCAAUUAAUCGUGUCAAUUUUUUAUUGCAAUUAAUAUUAAUAUCGAACAAUAUUAAAUAUAUAUUAU